UACGGAGGGUGCAAGCGUUAUCCGGAUUCACUGGGUUUAAAGGGUGCGUAGGCGGAUAUGUAAGUCCGUGGUGAAAUCUCUGGGCUUAACCCGGAAACUGCCAUGGAUACUAUGUGUCUUGAAUGUUGUUGAGGUGAGCGGAAUAUGUCAUGUAGCGGUGAAAUGCUUAGAUAUGACUCAGAACACCGAUUGCGAAGGCAGCUCACUAAGCUGUAACUGACACUGAGGCACGAAAGUGUGGGUAGCAAACAGG
rnacentral:rRNA from 1 species